rnacentral:rRNA from 1 species
GACGAACGCUGGCGGCGUGCUUAACACAUGCAAGUCGAGCGGUAAGGCCCUUUCGGGGGUACACGAGCGGCGAACGGGUGAGUAACACGUGGGUGACCUGCCCUCAGCUCUGGGAUAAGCCUGGGAAACCGGGUCUAAUACCGGAUAUGACUCCAUGACGCAUGUUGUGGGGUGGAAAGCCUUGUGCGGCUGAGGAUGGGCCCGCGGCCUAUCAGCUUGUUGGUGGGGUGANGGCCUACCAAGGCGACGACGGGUAGCCGGCCUGAGAGGGCGACCGGCCACACUGGGACUGAGACACGGCCCAGACUCCUACGGGAGGCAGCAGUGGGGAAUCUUGCGCAAUGGGCGAAAGCCUGACGCAGCGACGC